CACCAUUCAUAUUUCACCAGAAAUACAGACUGGAUUUCGCUAUUUCCUCAGGCUGGUCUCGAACUCUUGACCUCAAGUGUUCCUCCCACCUUGGCCUACGAAAGUGCUGGGAUUACAGGCAUGAGCCACUGCACCUCCCAGGAGUUUCUAAAGGUGGGAGUUUUUGACAAACCAAUUAAAUAUUUUGAUGCCUUCCCUUGGCCCUUGAAUUAGACUAUAUCCUCUGUUUCACUCAAUAGGACUUUUAACGUAGUAGUACUAACAAUGAAGCUUUGUUCAGGAUCAAGAAUCCCCCAAAGAUAACACAAUAAUUACCCUGAAUCAACUGUGUAAAGCUUUAAAAAAUCAAGCAAGUAUGUUUAGCUAUAACCAUACUUCAAUCUCAUAUACAGUUCCAUUCCCUGGAUGAUGGCUAGAAGGAUUUCUAGUUACAGCCUGCCUUCUAUCAGUC
rnacentral:lncRNA from 1 species